rnacentral:rRNA from 1 species
UACGAAGGGGGCUAGCGUUGUUCGGAAUUACUGGGCGUAAAGCGCGCGCAGGCGGCUAUCCAAGUCAGUGGUGAAAGCCCGGAGCUCAACUCCGGAACUGCCAUUGAAACUGUUUAGCUGAGUAUGAGAGAGGUGAGUGGAAUUCCCAGUGUAGAGGUGAAAUUCGUAGAUAUUGGGAAGAACACCGGUGGCGAAGGCGGCUCACUGGCUCAUUACUGACGCUCAGGCGCGACAGCGUGGGAGUCAAACAGG